rnacentral:rRNA from 1 species
GCUUAACCGAAGAAGUGCAUCGGAAACUGGGUGACUUGAGUGCAGAAGAGGACAGUGGAACUCCAUGUGUAGCGGUGGAAUGCGUAGAUAUAUGAAAGAACACCAGUGGCGAAGGCGGCUGUCUGGUCUGCAACUGACGCUGAGGCUCGAAAGCAUGGGUAGCGAACAGGAUUAGAUACCCUGGUAGUCCAUGCCGUAAACGAUGAGUGCUAGGUGUUGGAGGGUUUCCGCCCUUCAGUGCCGGAGCUAACGCAUUAAGCACUCCGCCUGGGGAGUACGACCGCAAGGUUGAAACUCAAAGGAAUUGACGGGGGCCCGCACAAGCGGUGGAGCAUGUGGUUUAAUUCGAAGCUACGCGAAGAACCUUACCAGGUCUUGACAUCUUGCGCUAACCUAAGAGAUUAGGCGUUCCCUUCGGGGACGCAAUGACAGGUGGUGCAUGGUCGUCGUCAGCUCGUGUCGUGAGAUGUUGGGUUAAGUCCCGCAACGAGCGCAACCCUUGUUACUAGUUGCCAGCAUUCAGUUGGGCACUCUAGUGAGACUGCCGGUGACAAACCGGAGGAAGGUGGGGAUGACGUCAGAUCAUCAUGCCCCUUAUGACCUGGGGCUACACACGUGCUACAAUGGUCGGUACAACG